rnacentral:rRNA from 1 species
UACGGGGGGGGCAAGCGUUGUUCGGAAUUACUGGGCGUAAAGGGCUCGUAGGUGGCCAACUAAGUCAGACGUGAAAUCCCUCGGCUUAACCGGGGAACUGCGUCUGAUACUGGAUGGCUUGAGUUUGGGAGAGGGAUGCGGAAUUCCAGGUGUAGCGGUGAAAUGCGUAGAUAUCUGGAGGAACACCGGUGGCGAAGGCGGCGACCUGGUCCUAUACUGACGCUCAUACACGAAAGCGUGGGAUCAAACAGG